GUCUACGGCCAUGCUACCCUGAACACGCCCAAUCUUGUCUGAUCUUGGAAGCUAAGCAGGGUCGGGCCUGGUUAGUACUUGGAUGGGAGACCACCUAGGAAGACCAGGUGCUGUAGGCA
rnacentral:rRNA from 1 species